rnacentral:lncRNA from 1 species
CACAUAUCCUGAAAUUUUGAUUUGUUACUUUAAAAACUAAAGUAUAUUUGAUAUUUUAAAAAAUAAUUAUAUUACCUUUUAAAAUUAUUUCCAAAAAGGAAAUAAAUUCAGAUUAAAAUGCUGAUAAUCCAUUCUUUUAAAUCUAUGAGGACAUGAACACACAGAUCCAGCAGCCAAGGACUGUACCAGGAGAAAAGAAUAGUAGAUUUCUUGAAUGAACCAUGCUAUCAACAUCCACCAGAGAGCAGAGCAGCUCCAACACCCACAUCCUUCACAGUAGAAAUAGGAGACCGUAACAGCCAGAUCCUUGGCCAAACAACGUGGAUUGCAGUUCAUUUCAAAGUGCAAAUUGAAGGACUCGGAUGAGAUUGAAGGGACACUGAAAUUUUUCUAAUUAAAAAGGUACUUUUAACUUUUUUCAAAAUCGUAUGUUUGUAUUUGGGG